GAGCUCUGCUUUCAUCGACCCCCGCCUUCAUGCUGCCGCUGUCGGAGAUCCGCAUAUCGGAAGGACGAGGAGAUCGACAUUGAGAUUCUUUGUUUACAGAAGCUGAUCUGCGAGAUUCUCCACUCCGCCGAUUCCUAUGUGCCGCCGCCACCACCGCUGAGGUCGCCGUCAAGCUUUGAGCUCAUCGGGAGCAAAAUAUCCUCUGAUUUGAAUCUCGAUUAUUUAAUAAUCUCGAUUCGAAUAUUUUCAUGAAAACUCUUAUCGCGUUCUAAAUAUUUGCAAAAAGGGACCCUAGUAUUUACAAAUAUCCUCUAAUUUGGACCGUGAUUAUUUAUUGUGAUUUGAAUAUUUGCAAAAAGUAUCCUAGUAUUUUUCAUAUAGCCCCCUAGAUGGGUAGGAAUUUUUUGCAGCCGCCGUGGAGGAGUUCCGUUCAGCCUCGAAUCUCAGGGAAGACGAGGAGCACGAGCCGAGCGAGGCGGCCAUGGCGGAGCUCGCCGCGAACCAGCAGGUGCACUACAUCGUCGCCGCGGAGAACAGGGAUUCGUUCGACUCGCUGCUGAUGAAGCACAUCCGGCUCAACGGCGCCUACUGGAGCUUCACCACGCUGAACCUCCUCCACAAGCUCCACGCCGUCGACGCCGCCGAGGUCGUCGAUUGGAUCAUGUCCUGCUAGGCUGCUACCACCCGAAUCUGGUGGAUUUGUUGGAAACGUCGGGCACGAUCCGCAUGUGACAUGUCCGAUACACGCUCAGCGCCGGUCCUCUGUCUCUUCGAUUGGCUCGAUGUCCUUGAUGUGGAUAAGGUCGCUGAUCUUGAAUUGGCUUCACGCUGUUGGAGUAUCUUUGUAAACUUGAGAUUGCCAAUGCCCUAAUGAGCAAAGCAAAUCCUGCAUCCCUAGUUUAUUAAGCUGAUUGAACUUGAAAUCCAGUUCCUUUUUUCAUAUCUAAACCAUGUUAGAUGUCACUGGACUGCAAAAAUGAGGAUGAAUUAUUUUCUGGUGAAAUCUAGGGUGAAGUCGACCCUAGGUUCUCGUAUAUUGCCCUAUGUACCUUAUCGAUGCUACACUGUCUGCAUAAAAUUGAUAUGCAAAAGGCUGUAGAUUUCGUUGUUAACUGUAAGAACUUGGAUGGUGGAUUCGGAGCUGUGCCACGAGGGAGUCUCAUUCUGGCAAAUUGCUGGGCCUCUGCAUCACAUUGAUAGAGAUCUCCUUGGAUGGUGGCUUUGUGAGUGCCAGUGUAAAGUUGGAGGACUUAAUGGGCGGCCCAAGAAACUGGCUGAUGUUUGCUACUCAUGGUGGGUGUUAUCAAGCUUGAUAAUGAUUCAUAGAGUUUAUUUGAAAAAAAAUGAUUGAUAGAGUGCAAUGGAUUGACAAAGAAAAGCUUACAACAUUCAUCCUAAACUGUCAGUUCCAACUCUUCUCAUUUGUGUUGAUCGGCUAGACAAAGAGAAUGGUGGCAUAUCAGAUAGACCAGAUAAUGCAAUAGAUACCUAUCACACAUAUUUUGGAGUUGCAGGGCUUUCAUUGAUGUGGUACCCUGGGGUGUGAAGCCUAUGGAUCCUGCCUAUGGCUGCAGUUGGAUGUUGUCAAUCGGAUUUUCUCCAAGAUGUGCAGCCCCCCACGGCGUUCCUCAUUGUUCCUCCCUUCCAGUAUGUCCUGCUCCUGAUGGCACCGGCAAGAGCACCGAGCUCAAGUAAGACAACAGACGUGUAGAAGAGCAUGUUUAUUUUUCAACAAAAAUUCUAAUGCCUUUAUUCAGUAACUGGAUAAAUAAAAUUUCACAUAUGUGAGCACUGGAACCAGUGCUGUUCUAAA